GGGGGGGAGCAAACGUUGUUCGGAAUCACUGGGCGUAAAGGGCGCGUAGGCGGCCCCCGCAAGUGGUGUGUGAAAUGCCCUGGGCUCAACCAGGGAACUGCGCACCAAACUGCGGAGCUUGAGGGCAGUAGAGGAAGCUGGAAUUCCUGGUGUAGCGGUGAAAUGCGUAGAUAUCAGGAGGAACACCGUUGGCGAAGGCGAGCUUCUGGGCUGUUCCUGACGCUGAGGCGCGAAAGCUGGGGGAGCAAACAGGAUUAGAUACCCUGGUAGUCCCAGCCGUAAACGGUGAACACUAGGUGUGGGGGGGUGUCGACCCUUUCCGUGCCGCAGCUAACGCAUUAAGUGUUCCGCCUGGGAAGUACGGUCGCAAAGGCUG
rnacentral:rRNA from 1 species